UACGUAGGGGGCUAGCGUUGUUCGGAAUCACUGGGCGUAAAGCGCACGUAGGCGGCUGUGCCAGUCAGGGGUGAAAUCCCGGAGCUCAACUUCGGAACUGCCUCUGAUACAGCACGUCUUGAGUCCGGAAGAGGUGGGUGGAAUUCCUAGUGUAGAGGUGAAAUGCGCAGAUAUCAGGAAGAACACCCGUGGCGAAGGCGGCUCUCUGGGACGGUACUGACGCUGAGACGCGAAAGCGUGGGGAGCGAACAGG
rnacentral:rRNA from 1 species